UACGAAGGGGGCUAGCGUUGCUCGGAAUCACUGGGCGUAAAGGGCGCGCAGGCGGCGGACCAAGUCAGGCGUGAAAGCCCCGGGCUCAACCUGGGAACUGCGCCUGGGACUGGUUUGCUGGAGUUCGGGAGAGGAGCGUGGAAUUCCCAGUGUAGAGGUGAAAUUCGUAGAUAUUGGGAAGAACACCGGUGGCGAAGGCGGCGCUCUGGACCGAUACUGACGCUGAGGCGCGAAAGCGUGGGGAGCAAACAGG
rnacentral:rRNA from 1 species